CCUACGGGAGGCAGCAGUGAGGAAUAUUGGUCAAUGGGCGGAAGCCUGAACCAGCCAAGUAGCGUGCGGGAUGAAGGCCCUACGGGUCGUAAACCGCUUUUGCACGGGGAUAACACCCUCCACUUGUGGAGGUCUGCAGGUACCGUUCGAAUAAGGGCCGGCUAAUUCUGUGACAGCAGCCGCGUUAAUACGGAAGGCCCGAGCGUUAUCCGGGUUCCGUGGGCUUAAAGGGCGCAUAGGCGGGCGUUCAAGUCAGCUGUAAAAACGCGCGGCUCAACCGCGCACCGCAGUUGAAACUGGACGCCUUGAGUGCACAACAGGCAGGCGGAAUUCGUGGUGUAGCGGUGAAAUGCAUAGAUAUCACGAGGAACCCCGAUUGCGAAGGCAGCCUGCCGGGGUGCGACUGACGCUGAGGCUCGAAGGUGCGGGUAUCAAACAGGAUUAGAUACCCUUGUAGUC
rnacentral:rRNA from 1 species